CCAAAGGCUCUUUUAAGAGCCACCCACAGAACCCAAAAGAGAGCUG
rfam:Ophiophagus hannah scaffold3874.1, whole genome shotgun sequence.